rnacentral:rRNA from 1 species
GACGAACGCUGGCGGCGUGCUUAACACAUGCAAGUCGAACGGAAAGGCCCUGCUUUUGUGGGGUGCUCGAGGGGCGAAGGGGUGAGUAACACUUGAGUAACCUGCCCUUGACGUUGGGAUAACUUCAGAAAACUGGUGCUAUUCCGGGAUAAGAUUUCCUGCUUCUUGGUGGGGGUUGGAAUGUUUCGGCGGUUGGGGAUGGACUCGCUGCUCAUCAGCUUGUUGGUUGGGUAGUGGCUUACCAAGGCUUUGACGGGUAGCCGGGCUGAGAGGGGUACCGGGCACAUUGGACCUGCGCUACGGCCCAGCCUCGUCAGGGAGGCGAGGGUGGGGAAGAUUGCACUAUGGACUGAAGCAUGGUCUGGCACAGCCGCGUCGGGGAUAACGGCAUGCUGGUUGUAAACCGCUUUUGUCUGUGCCGGGGCGUGAGUGACGGUACCGGGUAAAGAAGCCCCGGCUAACUACGUG